CCCUGCACAGGGUGGCCACUUUGCUGCCCCCCUGCGACCUCUGCCUGGACGUGAUUGGAGGACAGAAGCCGAAGUCUCCGUGCCCAGUCUGCUUCAUUCGUUCCUUCAUUCAUUUAUUCAUUCAUUCAACACAACUCAGAACACCUUCCAUGUUCCAGGUAGUGUUCCAGGCGUUUCGGAUACAUAAGUGACAAAUACGUAGAACAUAUGGUAUGUCAGAUGCUGGAAGAGAAGGUUAGGACAUGGACACACACAGGAGACGACCAUGUGACGAUACAAAGAGGAGAAGGCUGUCUGCAAGCCCAGGGGAGAGACCUCAGAGGAAACCAACCCUGCUGACACCCUGAUCUCAGACUUCAAGCCUCCAGAACUGUAGGAAAAUAAACUUCUCUCGUUUACGCC